rnacentral:rRNA from 1 species
GAUGAACGCUAGCGGCAGGCCUAAUACAUGCAAGUCGAACGGUCCGCUUCGGCGGAUAGUGGCGCACGGGUGCGUAACACGUAUGCAACCUACCUUACAUUCGGGGAUAGCCUUUCGAAAGGGAGAUUAAUACCGCAUAAGACAGUAGCUGGGCAUCCAGUAGCUGUUAAAGAUUUACCGAUGUAAGCUGGGCAUGCGUCCAAUUAGUUAGUUGGUGAGGUAACGGCUCACCAAGACGAUGAUUGGUAGGGGAACUGAGAGGUCAAUCCCCCACACUGGCACUGAAAUACGGGCCAGACUCCUACGGGAGGCAGCAGUAGGGAAUAUUGGGCAAUGGACGCAAGUCUGACCCAGCCAUGCCGCGUGCAGGAAGAAGGCGUUCUGCGUUGUAAACUGCUUUUAUAUAGGAAGAAACGACCCUUGCGAGGGGCAUUGACGGUAUUAUAUGAAUAAGCACCGGCUAACUCCGUGCCAGCAGCCGCGGUAAAAC